rnacentral:snRNA from 1 species
GGAUAUGAGGGAGAUCUGGCUGCGACAUCUGUCACCCCAUUGAUCGCCAGAGUUGAUUCAGCUGAUCUGGCUGGGCUAGGUGGGUGUCCCCUUCCUCCCUCACCCCUCCAUGUGCAUCCCUACUGAAGCUGCGUGCUUGGUCAAAGAGGACGGCUUUCCCUGAUAGAGACAACGGGUCUUCAGGUUAUACAGAGUAGCUGCGCUCCCCUGCUAGAACCUCCAAACAAGCUCUCAAGGUCCAAAGUUAAGCAGCAGGUGAGAAGUUGGGAAAAGAGGCAAGAUAGAUUGUUUCGACAAUGUCGAAAUGGCUUCUCU